AGCCCUAGAGUCUGAUCUAAAACCCACUGAAAUCAAUGGGAGUUUUUCCAUUGACUUCAGUGGGCUUUGGCUCAGGCCCACAGUCU
rnacentral:pre_miRNA from 1 species